UUUCAUAUAUUAAGGUUUUAGUUAUGAUACUCCCAAUACAAUUUCUCAGAAAUCUGCAGAUUUUUACCAAAACUUUCCUCAGAAAUAGCAAAGAUUGUCCGUGGAUUCAGUCUGGCCCUACUCAUGGGUAAAAGUACGAUGCUGUUGCAACUGUCCCCAAUUACAAUAUUCAUUUAAAAGUUUGUCAUUACAAUUACAUUACAAUUUAAAUUUUAUUACAGUUUCAAUGUAAUUUGAUUUCAAAGAGUGAAUUAUUUGAUUAAUUAAUUAAUUUUAAAGUUGCAGUUUAAUAAAGUAGUUUAGUAAAGUUUCAGUCUUGAGUUUCAGUAAAGACAUUUUUGUUCAGGUUUUUUUGUAGGCCUGAUAAAUGGCCAAAACAUAGUUGUUGCUUUUACUUUUACUAGUCAGUAUUAUAUGUUCAAUUUACCAAAUCUAACAAUUUAACCAACUUACAUAUAGCCUGAAAACGUAAAUAACACCCAACCUGAUGUUCUGGAACUUGUUUUAUCAACAUUUCAAUGUUGCAACUGUCCCCAUGGGUUGUUGUUGCAACCAUCCCCCUGCUUGGGGGCAGUUGCAAGAUUUGACUUUGUCUGUUCAAGUUUAAAUCCUGCAUAUAUUACCAUAUGUAAAAAUAUUAUAACAAUGUGGGUUGGUGUCUGAUAGAUGUGGGUUUAUUAUUUAAAAAUUUAGAGUUUAGAGAAACGGAAAGAAAUGCAAAAAGUGUUGCAACUGUCCCCACUCUCCCCCACCUUUCCUCUGCCAACCGAAAAUAAUAGCCAAUCAUUUCAUGGCAUAUUGAACAAAAUUACUGUCCAAUCACAUUUUCCAUAUCGAUCGAGUUGAAGAAAAAGGCGGGACUUGAGAUGAAGUCGGAAAUAAAUAAAAAAAAAUAGUUACAGUUGACAUAACAAAAGAAAAACAGGAAUCAACAUUAGGAGCCAAAGGUAUGUUGAAAGAGUACACCAUAUCGCCUCAUAUAAUCGCUGAAUCGGUGUUUCAACCACCGAACGACGUCAAUAAAUCCUUUGGAAAACCAUAAAGCCAUUCACGAUAUGUUUACAUCAGGAGAGCAAACUGAGUAGCUUAUAAUGUACAGUAGUGCUACAAUAUAUCCAUUUGAGGUGGAUUAAAAAAAAAAGUUCAUCAAGUUGUUCAAAGACAAUAAUGGUUGCUCAUUUUGGUUUAAGGACAACUUUAAUGAAAGAUUUUAGUCCUCCUAAAAUGUUUACCUACUGUAUAUCCAUCCCAUAUUACUCUCUGAUAGGAGAUCUAAAAUCAGAAAAAUAAUAACAAUAAAUUAGAAAAAAAUGAAAAAAAAAAAUAGAAAUCUGGCCAUCCUACUUAACUGUCAGUUUGAAAGAUGCAUUUCGCUCCCAUCCACAGGUCUGUGUGAAAUACAGGUCCCUCUUUUCAGAAAACAUUCUCGCCCUCUAAUGAAAUCGAACAUCAUGCCGAUCGAUAUAGUUUUUGACUUGAUCCCAUCAGCAAAUCCCAAAGAGAAGGAGGAAUAAUGCCAUAAUGAGAGAAAGUAGGACUCCUGCCGUUUUC